CAUGGUUCUCCCACUCCAGACAGACGCAGGUUAAGAUCCUCUCUGCAGAGGGGAGAGCAAAGGAGACAUGGUGUGCUCUCUCGGAGAUACACAAGCAGGGCGUGGCAGGAUCUGGGAGGAACACAGGAGACAUUUCUGCCACGGCCUUGGCCAACAAUCUGGAAACUCCCUUUUCCUCUAAGCUCACUGUGCACUUCAGGGUUCUUCAGGACCUUGGCGCUGCCAAAACGCUUGAAGCGGCUCUUCACGUUGCUGUAGAACCAUUCCAGAGACUGUGUCCUCAGAAGCCUGUUAGACGAGCAACGGUUA